UGGUCAAGUUAUUAAGGGUGCAGGGCGGAUGCCUUGGCACUAGGAGCCGAUGAAGGACGUGAUAAGCUGCGAUAAGCUUCGGGGAGUUGCACGUAAACUUUGAUCCGAAGAUUUCCGAAUGAGGAAACUCACUUAGAGUAAUGUCUAAGUAUCAUUAAGUGAAUACAUAGCUUAAUGAGGGGAACUCAGGGAACUGAAACAUCUAAGUACCUGAAGGAAGAGAAAGAAAUUCGAUUCCGUAAGUAGCGGCGAGCGAACGCGGAUUAGCCCAAACCAAUAAAGUUUUCUUUGUUGGGGUUGCGGACAUAUCAUAACGAAGAGGUAUCGUAAUUGAAGAGGUUUGGAAAGACCCACCACAGAAGGUAAUAGUCCUGUAUGUUAAACGAGAAGACUUUAGAUAUGAUCCAGAGUACCACGGGACACGUGAAACCCUGUGGGAAGCAGGAGGGACCACCCUCCAAGGCUAAAUACUACCUAGUGACCGAUAGCGUAUAGUACCGUGAGGGAAAGGUGAAAAGAACCCCGGGAGGGGAGUGAAAUCGAACCUACAACCUGCUGAUUACAAGCUGUGGAAGCACAUUUCUUGUGUGACCGCGUACUUUUUGUAGAACGGGCCAACGAGUUACGUUAAGUAGCAAGGUUAAGCACUUAAGGUG
rnacentral:rRNA from 1 species